rnacentral:rRNA from 1 species
GCAUACUCUAGAUCCUGAUUCAUUUUAUUUUAAUAAAUAAAAUUACUGCCAAAUCCUAACAGAAAAAAUUUUACAAAUUCUAACUUAAUAAUGUAACCCAUCUCUUCUCUUAAAAGCUGCACCUUGAUUUGAUCUAAAAUAGAAUUUUAUUUAAAGAAAAUUAGCCUUCUUUAGAAAUAUUCAUUUCAACAACGAUAUACAAGCAAUAUAAAAGUAAAAUAAAUUGUGGACUAUCAAUUACAGGACAGGUUCCUCUGGUAGGUUCAAGUACCGCCAAGAUAUUUAAUUUUCAAGCACUUAACUAAUACUAAUCCGGUUUCAAUAAUAACGAUAUCAAUAACAGGGUAUCUAAUCCUGGUUUACAAUAACAUUUUCUUAGAUCAUCUCAUUUUUCAUCCUUAAUUUUCUAUUAAAAUUUCACCUCUCAAUAUAACUACUUUAGAUUACUAAUUAAUUAACUAAAACCACAAAAAUUAAAUUGCACCUUUUGUAUAACCGCA